GGGACCGGCGCGGGGCGGUCUGAGGGGCGGUGUCCUCGCUCCCUCACGACGCCCUGCAGCCUCGGCACCCAAACCGCUGCUCUUUAGACCCAAAAUAACCCCUGAACUCUGUCAGACUAGGGCUUGCUCUGUUGUGGUCUGUCACUGGGGGUUGUGUGACCAUAUUCCGAGGAUGGGGGGAAAAAUAAUCGUUGUUGCAGUCACAUUUACCUAAAUCCAGCCACACACUGAUGAUCUGAGUGACCAGUGUAAACCCUUCCACUCCUUUAGUUUCCUUCCACUGAGAUGAAGCUUGAAGUGUUCUCCAAAAGAAUUGUGCUUGAAUCCCCCAGCUCAUAUGACUGGAUAACUGAAACAAUUUGAAGUCUGUUUUUACUAGAACCUGAUCACCACCUGACUGAGUGAAGAAACUGAGGACUGUUUGAAACUUCCUUGGACAUUAAUAGGUUGACUGCUAUGUUGCUGAACUUAGUGCAUGAAAGGUCAGCCUUUGAAAAGCUAAAUAAGGAGGCUCUGUUACCCUCCCAGUGGAAGCACAGCUGACCCUGCUGCUCAUGACCCUUGAGACCCAUGUUGGUGCAUGUCCACCAUGGGCAGGAAGGCCAGUCCAAUAACAGCACCAGGCAUUACAGAAAGACAUGGUUUGCAUUCAUCUCUGUAGCCA